rnacentral:lncRNA from 1 species
CUUCCGGUGGUGUCUCAGCCCAGCUCCCUUGAGGCGCAGGUUCUGGCUCUCGGUGCGGUAGCGCCAUCUGGCGCCGAGUGUUCCCCGGACUGCGGAGGGGCGCGCUUCCUCCCUUCAGAACAUUCCAGAGACACCGCGGCGGCCGGGGCUCUGUCUCCCUUUCUCUGCAUUCUGCUUGUGGAUCAGAUGUGAGCUCUCAUCUACUGCUCUGGUGUCACACCUGCCUGCCUGCCUGCCACCAUGCUGCCUGCCAUGAUGAUCAUGGACUCACCCUCUGAAACUGACUUAUUUUCAAGCAUUGUGACCCAAGUGAAGAUUAUGUCUUCUCUCAUUAGCUGCUUUGGAAACCAGUAAUGGAGGACUGACUGCUGGCUGUGCACUCCAAUGCUCCUCAUUCCGCUGUGCUAGACUCAGCUGAAAUCCUUGCCUCCCCUCAAAGAAGCCAAAUGCAUCAUGAACAGUGACAUUUCUGCUAGCCAGGAAAACAUAAAGAAAUCCCAGUGAAGCAAGAAGGUAGACAAAAUUCUUUCCAGCAUUUGAACAAAAAGGGUAAUUGUUUUUGUUGUUUUUGUUCAUCUAAGUUUUAUGGAAGUCGAUUAUCCAACUCUCUGCUGGACUUUCAAACCUCCUUUUCUCUGUCCUACAUAAUUUAAACACACUAUAAAUACCCUUAGCUACUCUGAGGGCGGGCCCAUAUUUGCAAGGCAACCACGGUUUGAGAUAUUGUUGAAUUUGAAAGGCAGCACUUCCUUGUCCGGCACAUAAACUCCAAUGAAGGUUAUGAUGAGUGUGCUGGUGGUGGCCACGUUUGACAGCCAGACAAGCAGCUCAUUUAUUCCAAAAGACUUUGAAUCCAUGCCCAGAGUCAAAUGUAGACUCUUUUUUUAAAACUCAGGAGGCUUGAAAUAAGAAAGUUAACUGACUCACAGUGCCCUUCUUGUUAGGGAGUAGGAAGGCUUCAGAAUGGAGAGAGGGCUAAAGUGUUUGAACCUGUCCGAUGGCUUCUUUAUGGGGUUCAGCCAUGGUAUUUCCUAGCUUGUCUUGUGUGAAAGUCUAUAUUGCUUGUUGAAGGUUGAAAAUAUCAUCUCUUUAUGAAAAUCCCCAAUCCUGGGAAGAAAAUAUAGAAUGAAAAAAUAAAAUGGGAUAUAGGAAGCCUGUGGAAUAGGACUUUAAAAACCCCUGUGCAUCACUGAAUCAGUAAAUGAGCUAACAAGAGAGUUUUGUGGCCACCAAGGACCCCCUCCAUGUCCCUGCUUCCCUCAAUGAUAGACAUAACCUGUAAGUUGAAGUAAAACCUGUCUUCCCAAGUCACUGUUUGGUCAUGGUGUUUAUCACAGGAACGGACAGCAAACUGUUAAAAGUGCAUGCUAUAUAUUAUAAGCCUAGUCAAAAGCUGGAGGCUGGAGAGAUCACAGACCUUAGAAGCCAUUCAUUAUUACUGUUUUGCUAAGUAGACGGUCCCAUUGCCUCCUAAACACUCAUGUUCAUAUGCAUUGAUUAGUGAUACUCUCACCCUGAAUCAGGGUGGCUUAUGGCAAAUAGGAGGUAGUUAAUGCAGAGGCUCACACCUGGUCAAAGUGUCCAGAAGUGUUACAGAAGAACAGGUCAAUAAGAACCUAAGAGCCAGAGGCUAGAGAUGCCUGCGUUUGAAAAGAUGACUUCUGGACAAGACCUGGCUGUUAUAGUCAUAAACUCGUUAUGGAAGGUGGAGGAGUGUUCCUGAGACACUACUGACAGUAAAUCCCUCCCCGAGGGGCUACCAAAAGUUAAUAGUUGCUGUGGGUAAUGCAUUGUGCUUCCGGGUGAUGUAGCCACCAAUGCAUUGCCCUUGUUCCAGUAACUAUCCUGCCAGCUAUACUUAUGUAAAUUCAAUGGCUCACACACAAAAAGAAGACUUCAAAUUGGAGGGUACUUGCUGAGGAGUUUAAGCAGGAAGAAGAAAGGGGGUGUGAGGAUAGCAGGGAGUGAAAUGAUUAAAAUUGGUUAUAUAUGUAUAUGAAUGCCAAAGAAUAAAAAGUAAUUUUUAUCCAUCACACACUCCCUGUACACUCGUUACCUGUAUCACCUGUGCUUCAUGUGCGUCAGUUACCUGCAUCACUUGCAUUACCUACGUCACAGACUGGAUAAAAGAUACAGACCCUGACCCAUAGCACUUUCUCUCCCCAUCACUUCCUCAUUUCUUCCCCUCACCCUCCCCCCACCCCCCUUUCAGAGGUGCCUCUCAUGUGAGACCUGUGCUGGCUUGGCGUGAUCUUUCCUGGAAUGCGCAGUCUCCUAUAACAGUCACAGGCAUUUUCCUUUCUAGCUCAGAGCAAACCCUUCUGAGUGACUUUGGACUUCAAGACGAGUUCUGAGGCAUGAGCUAGUCCCUCCUCUCCUCCUCAGGAUUAUACUUCAGUGAACCUGUUCCAAUCAAAACUAGAGUGUGACCCAUGUGACUUCAUUCAGGGUAUUCAUGAAUCUCCAAGAAUCACACCUGAUUUCGAUGAACACAAUACAGUGUAUGAAGAAGUGGCAUGUUAGAGAAACCAAACAUUUUUUGUGGAACUGAAACUGGGAAGACAAGAAGAUAUAUCUAGCUAAUCCUUACUGCUCCACCACACAAAUCUCCACAGCUUGACUCCGGGCAGAAACCCCAUUGAAACUAAAAGCAAGAGUACCACAUUGUAUAGUAUCUUGUUUAGAAAUAAAAACAGCAGAGCCAAACAGAAUUUUUAAAGAUAUUCCAGCUCUGUCUGCUAGAGAUGAUAUCAGUUUGCUGGUUGGUUAAGAACAUAUUUGCAUUUUAAUAAUGGCUCAUAGGCCUGGUGAUGUUAUUUCUGGGAAAUGUCAAGUCUGUCACUUCAAAAGGGCAAACAUGCCACCACACCAAGCUGUGAUUUUUCACCUUGUGCAAUGGAGUCGCCCUGAGAGUCUACAACAAUUCAUCUUAUUUCUGUAAGAGGUAAUAGCUAUCUUUAAAAGAUUCUGUCCUGGGGAUUGGAGAGAUGGCUCAGCAAUUGCAGAAGACCAGGGUUUGAUUCCCAGCACUACAUGGUGGCUCACAACCAUCUGUAAUUCUGAUUUUAGGAGGAUAUGGUAUCUUCUUCUGGCCUCUGUGGGCACUGAACACAUGUGGUUCAUAUAAAUACAUGCAGGAGAAGACAUGAAAGACCAUUCUCAUUCUCACUUGUAGACAGAAGAAAGCAGGACUCUAGAAAACCGACUUGUCCAAUCUUGUAAUUUUGGUAGUAAAACGUUGCUACAUCCCAAACAGCUCACUGUCUCCCUGUAAGAAAAGCAUUUUGUGCCAGGGUGAAGUGGUUGUGUGAAGGAGGGCCUAUUAAGUGCUUAUGAAUUAAGUAGAGGAGAAAGCAAGGAUUCUGGGAAAUUUGAUAAACUCCGUCACAUCUUGACUGUGGGCUGCUCAGCCACUGUCUUGCUAUCAGAAGAUGCCAGCAAUGGAAAAAGUCAGGAACAUUAUCUCCGGGGCAAAACCAGCUGACAUAGGGUAAUCUUUGUUGUCACCCUAAGGAUCUUUGGCUUUCUAAUAAUAGUGAGGUUCAGCAUCAUGGGCUUCCUUAUCCAGCUUUGGAAUCACUCACGAGUUCAGGGUUUUGUUGUUUGUUUUUGUUCUAACCACCUUUUGAGUAAUUGUGACUAUCCUAAAGUUCUGAUCAAAAAGGAAUAGCUCUGUGUCAUAGCCUUGCAGAAUUCAAAACAAUAAAAUAUUAUGUGCAAAGGCAUGAUUUUCCAAAAACAAAUGUGAAGGCUAAUCUUGGUUGUCAACAUGACAUAUCUGGGAGGAGGAAACUUCAAACAAAUUCAAAGGAAUUGUGUCCAUCAGGUUAUCUGUGGGCACAUCUGUGGGGACCUUGUUCUUUAUUAUUAAUUGUAGAAGGGCUCAGCCCACUGUGGGUGGUACCAUCCCUAGGCAGGGUAGAACUGGAUUGUGGAUUAGUAAGCAAGAGGGAGUGAGCCAGUAAGCAGCAUCCUCUGUGGUCUCUGUUUCAAGCUCCUGACUUGAGUUCAUGCGUUGGCUUUCUUCAAUAAAGGACUGUAACCUGGAGAUGUGUGUGAGCGUGGAGGAGCCUGCAGAGAUCAGAGGAGUUGGAUCCACUGAAGAGCAAAGAUUAGCAUGGCAGAACAUGACUUCUGAUUUGCCUCUGAAGGAAGAGAGGCUUCGGCUUAAAUGGACCCAGGCUAUGUGGCAAGAUGGGAAUACUCACGACCUAGGACUACAGGUGCCUCGGCAAUACUUAGUCAAAAGAACUUCCGGCGCGAGACCUCAUCUGGGUUGGAAAACAUUUAGGUUUCAGUGUUAUGAGGGAACCACAGCUUGCCAUGCGUUCUUUCAAGCAGUAAAAGACAACUUGGGUCUGGGACUGUGGCACAGGCUUUGCUUGGCAUGAGUUCUGACAUGCAGCAUAUCCCACCCAAUCCCUGUGUUUCUGACAAUGUCACCAACACUCAUGCUGAACUUCACUGAGGCAUUCUCUACAGCUGCUUUUCUACUGACAGGACGCAGUAAACAAUCUUUUUCUCUGUUACAGCUUGUGAAGAUAGUCUGUUCCGAUCUAUCUGGAUUUUCAUCUUGGUUACAAGUGGAUGUAUUUUUAAAAUUUUAAUCUCUGGGUAUUUAUUAAACAUAUAUAUCCAAGGCACUUAUAGAAGAAUGAAAAUAUCUAACCACCAAGAGAUCAUUUGAAGAUACAUGAACAUCCACGUGCCAGGAAGUAGGGUCAGAAGAGAACAUCAGAUCCCCCAAAAGCAGAGCUAAGCAUGUUUGUGCCCAAUCAUGUGGGUGCUGGGAACAGAAUUGGUGUCCUCUGCAAGAGCAGGGUUCAAGAGUUGUGGUCGAGCUCUGCUUACCUUACAACUUCAGCUCCAGGGACAUCUCUCAAGUGCAAAGCAGGAUGCCAAGGUGGAGUUUGUCCUGUGGAUGCCAGCAGCUUCUCAGUUUGCUGAGAAAUAAAGAGUGAGGUUGAUUUCAGAAGAAAUGAUCUUCACGAUGCUAAGAACACAAGGCGGGAUUUCAAAGGAAGGAACUUAAAGGCCUCAGCUUCAUAUGACUGACCUCAGCUUCUCGUGACCUCACCUGGCUGACCUCAGCUUCUCGUGACCUCACAUGACCAACCUUGCUUCUAAGGAGUGGUGUGAGACCCGUGAAGCCCUUACCAUUCUAAGAAUCUGAUGAGUAAGAAAGGACAAACACAUGACAGGGGAGAACAGGAAAAGAAAUCUUUUCUUCAUCAAAAUGCACCUCUUGAGUCAGGAAAGACUCUUGUCAGAGUCUGGACAGUCUAAUAUCUAUGCACCUUCCAGCAGGUUCUGACUGGGAGCACACUGUAUUUGUGAAGGGAGGCUUUGACUUCAGUGAGCAGAAAGAAUACUGACCUGCAGAGGAUCUGUUCCCCCUACCCCUUACGCCCCCCACCUCUCCCCUCAGCUUUCCUCUAUCCCCCAUCCCUGACACACACAUAAGGUUCCUGGGGAAAUGUUGGGCAUUGGGCUAUGCAAAGACAGUCUGGUCUCCAGUCGAGCUGAGAUGUUGAACCCCAGGACCCAGUGGUGAUAAUUCACCUACAUGGGACAGAAGGAGUUCUCUCAUGUCUCCUGGAACUCUGGCUCCUGUCAAAGUUACCACCCCCUCAGCCCCCACAAAAGAAGCAUGGUUAGUACUCACAUAGGCAAUGUCCCAACCUUCUGACCUUUAGGCUAGACUCCUCCCCAGUUACCUAGCAACAGAAAAGAUAGCAACAUACUUUAAGAGGGGCUGUUUGGCCCCUCCUUGCUCUCUCACUCCUCUCUCUCUCCUCUCUUGCUCUCUUUGUUUUCUCCUCUCCUCUCCUCUCCUCUCCUCUCCUCU